rnacentral:tRNA from 2 species
GGGGGAUUAGCUCAGUUGGUAGAGCGCUUGCAUGGCAUGCAAGAGGUCAGCGGUUCGAACCCGCUAUCCUCCA